AACACAGUGGAUCAUAUUGUCACUUUCUUUAAACCUCCAAAAGAUGUCCAUCUCCAGGAGUUGUCAGCCGAGGCAUACUCAAGACUAGAAGAUCUGAAGUCAGUAUCCAAAGCAAGUCUGUAUUAUGCAAUUGAACACCACAAGAUAACAGAUGUGAAUGUGGAUGUGAAGUCUCCAUUUAUCAUUAUACCAGAGGAAGGCACCUUUAAGA